AGAGUUCUUUUAAGUCUAUCCCAGGGGGAUGGGCCAGACACAGAGAUUCUUGAAAGAUGUCCAUAGGUCAUUUGGAUGCACACCAGAAUUGAUGACCAAUGUUCUGUAAUCAAAACCCCAACUACUCAUGUAGGUAAACCAUGCCAAACCCUUCAUAAAUUCAUCAUAAAAUGGGUCUGCUGAAAAGAAUUGGAGAAAUAACAAAUUAUUUUAAAAGGUCUAAUGGCAGAAUUUUCUCAAAAGGAGAAAAACAAAUGUUUAAGUAUCCCUUUUACAAGACAGUCCCAAUGAUGAGGUCAGUCAAGCAAAGUGGCAUUUUUCCUUGGAAUUCAUUGAGGUAUUCAGGUCAUAAUUGGCUGUGGGACUUGGGAAAAUGUGGGAGAAGAAACUUGGCUUUUGGAAAACAGGGAAAAAUUAUCUCAAUGCCCCAGAAGCU
rnacentral:lncRNA from 1 species